AUGGGUGGCUGCCGAGUGGGAAUGGAGAAAGCAAUUGUGAUGGUGAUAGUGUGGGUCCCACGAUAUUUUUUAUGUGGCUUUAUUUUUGUAACUUUAUAUAUAUAUUUUGUGUGUGUUGUGAAGUGGAAAGAAAGAGAAGGUGUGGUGGAAAUUAGAGAUAAGGAGGAGAUGUGAGUAGGUGGCCGAAGUGGGAAGAGAGAAUUUUUUUUAAUGAUGGUGGUGUGUACUUGCGGGGCCCACAAUGUUAUUAUUUGGGCUUGACUUUUUGACUUUUGGGCAAAAUUGUUUUGCCUUCACAUGGUAUAUGAAAUGAUAAGAUUUUGGCAAAUCACUUUUUGACUUGAACUUGAUUUCUCUAUGUGGCUUUUGUAAGCUGAAAGUGGGAUUGUGUGGUGAUGAGAAGGAGAGAGAAAUGGGUUCAACUAUUUUAUUGCAAGGUGUAAUUGUUUUGUGUGGUGGGCUGAGAAGUAGAGGGAGCAGGUUGAUGAGAGAAGGAAAAGUUGUAAGGAUUUGGGACCUACUUGGCCUUUGCUUAGCUUUUUGCAUGUGGGGUUUGUUGGCUGAUUUUUUUUGUGAAGUUAGUGAAAUUGCUUAUUUAAGCGUGUGUUUUGUGCACUGACAGGUAUUGAAAGAAAGAGAGCAAAGUUGAAAUACAGAGAGAGUUUGCAGAUAGAGGGCUGAGAGUUUGAGGACAGAGAAGAGCUGAGUUUUCAGAGAGGGCCGGAGGUUUGCGGACUUGGUAAUCUAGUGAGGAAAUUCUUUUUCAGUUUUCAGGUACCGAGGAUGAACGGGGAUUGCUAGAUUCAGGCUUAGAUGGAAGAGUCGGCGUUGUAAGAUUUAAUUUAUUUAUUUGGAGAAUUUUUGUGUACAUCGAGGAAAUUGAUUUUGUAUAAAAGAGGGCAUUUUUUUAAUGAUCAUGGGUGUAUUUUGAUUUGUAUAAAUUGAAGAUUUUGUUUGAAAUUUCGGUUAGUGAUAGAUGAUACUGAGGAUAUUAGGAGACUAAAGGUAGAUUUGGCCAAGGAAUUUGAAAUUGAAGACUUGGGUGCCCUGCGAUAUUUUCUAGGUAUUGAAGUGGCUUGCUCAAAGUAGGGAAUCUUUGUUUCAUUGAGAAAGUAUAUACUUGAUCUUUUAACUGAGAUAGGGAUGUUAACCUACAAGCCUGUGGAUACUCCUAUCGAAUAGAAUCAUAGAUUGGGUGAACAAACUGAUGAUACACUUGCUAACAUAGAGAGAUAUCAAAUGUUGGUUGGAAAACUAAUAUAUUUGGCUCAUACACGACCUGAUAUAGCUUGUGCAGUGAGUCUUGUCAAUCAGUUCAUGCACGAGCCACGUUAAGUUCAUAUGCAGGCAGUAGAGAGGAUACUCAAAUACUUGAUAUCAACACCUGGUAAGGGUCUUUUGUUUUCUAAACAUGAUUACUCUGUAGUAUAGGCCUAUACAAAUGCUGAUUAGGCGGGUUUUAUUUCGGAUCGAAGAUCAACUACAAGAUAUUGCACAUUUGUGGGUGGCAUUAAUCUAGUUACUUAGUGGAAUAAGAAGCAAUCGGUUGUGGCUAGAUCUAGUGUCGAGGCUGAAUUCAGAGGUAUAGCCCACGGUGUCAUGGUGUAUGUGAAUUAUUAUGGUUGAAGAUUCUAUUGGGAGAAAUGAGGAUUGCUUGUCAAAGUCCUGUGAAGCUAUAUUGUGAUAAUAAAGCAAUCAUUAGCAUUGCUCAUAAUCCUGUGCAACAUGAUUGGAUUAAACAUAUUGAGAUUGAUAAACAGUUUAUCAAAGAGGAGUGGUGUGAUUUGCACUCCUUAGCUAUGUGAGGACCGAUGAUCAACUUGCUGAUAUUUUGACUAAAGGAGUCUCUAGCAAAGUGUAUGUUCAUUUAUGCUCUUGCCAAGUUGAGAAUCCAAAACAUUUAUUUUCCGGUUGAGGGGGAGUAUUGACAUAUAUAGAUAAUUAGUUAUACUAUUGACUAUAUAACUGUUAAAAUAUAUAGAUAAUUAGUUGUACAUGUGUUGAUUAACAUAAUUAUAGGAGCUGACUUUUAGCCUUUAAUUUCUUUCCUUCUUAAUUUGUAAUUAUUUGUGUCCUAUUUAAAUCCUCCACAAGGAGAAGAGUAUGCACGGUAAAUUAUUCCUA